rnacentral:lncRNA from 10 species
GUCCACCACCCACUUGGGGAGCAGAAGGAAAUUUGCCAUCUCAAUUUACUUAUCAGAAGUUUCUUUGCAGAAAUAUGAUUGUCCCUUCAGUGGGACAUCAUUUGUGGUCUUCUCUCUCUUUUUGAUCUGUGCAAUGGCUGGAGAUGUAGUCUACGCUGACAUCAAAACUGUUCGGACUUCCCCGUUAGAACUCGCGUUUCCACUUCAGAGAUCUGUUUCUUUCAACUUUUCUACUGUCCAUAAAUCAUGUCCUGCCAAAGACUGGAAGGUGCAUAAGGGAAAAUGUUACUGGAUUGCUGAAACUAAGAAAUCUUGGAACAAAAGUCAAAAUGACUGUGCCAUAAACAAUUCAUAUCUCAUGGUGAUUCAAGACAUUACUGCUAUGGCCCCAUCACCAGAGUGGCAGAGCAGCAGAGCAGCGGAAUAGCAGAGUGACAGAGAAAGAAAGAAAAGAAGAAGCAGCCGGAUGUCAGAGAGAAGCAGUUUGAGCUCAGAGGGACAGCUUGAUGGUGGGACCUCGGAGAAGAGUUUGUCUGAACUCCAGGGGAAUACCACCUUCCCAUUCCAUCCACUUUCCAGCUCCCUAUCCCGCUGAGAGCCACUUCCAUCCCUCAAUAAAAUCCUCCACAUUCAC